UUCUGGCCUCAAAUCAGGUAGGACUACCCGCUGAACUUAAGCAUAUCAAUAAGCGGAGGAAAAGAAACUAACAAGGAUUCCCCUAGUAACUGCGAGUGAAGAGGGAAAAGCUCAAAUUAAAAUCUG
rnacentral:rRNA from 1 species